UGUUUGCAAUAAACAUCGAGUUUCAUUGUCUCAUGCAAAUUGUAAGAUGGAAUUUUAAGAUGUCGCAGCUUAUCCGAAUCGAAUAACCCUACUUUACUCUGUACAUCGAAAGAUCGAAGGAAGAUUUGGAGAAAGGCGAGGGUGCAUUGGCUCGUUAGAUAAGAGCGUCACGGCAACGAUUCAAUUAAAUGUCCUCGGAACGCGAUAUUCAUCUGGGUAAAGAGGACGAGCGGACGAAGAAGACGCUGGCCGUGUUGGACACGUGUUCGAACGCGGCACGAUCCUCUCGGCGCGCGCGAAUCACACGCAAUAUACACGCACCGGAGACCUGGAUGGCGGAUGUACAAUACGAAUCCAUGGUUAGGUUACACGAAAGGAGGUGGCGCGAGGACUCGAAGAACGAGCUCGGCCAAUCAACACAAUGACGAAAUAAUUGAGCGUCCGCUCACGUUGGCAAUAGGGUUCGCAAGGGCACCCGAGGACUAAUUAACGAGAAAUGGAGAAGCAGCGAUACGUGGUCGGACUCGUUUCUUUCGGACCGCUGUCCGCAAGUCUGGAACGCGAAACGGGCGCAUGCCAUCGCGACGCCGUGACCUGGGCGCGAAAUUUUCCACUCACCUCGGCCCCGCAGGAGUCCCGAAAUUCACGAAAAAUCACCGAUCACCCCGCGCUAACGGUACUCCGUGACGCGAGCAUCGAAAUAUUUCUUCGUGCCUGGUGCCGCUGUCUGGACCUGGACAGGAGCAUUACCGAUCUACCUUUGGUUUCACCUGUUCGCGGAAAAGAAAUUCGUGGAAACGUCUUGGGGAACAUGGCGAGAUAUUUCAUUGGCAGGGAGGAAAGUAGCAUCGAUCAGAGAGAGAGAGAGAGCGAGAGAGAGAGAAGAGGGAGAGAAAGAAAAAAAGAAGAAACGCGGAUCGAAACCGAUUCGUCUGCCUCUCGGUUCGUCGAUGGAACAGGUUAGAUCCGCGAGAAUCUUUCGUUUUUUCCGUGGCCGACAGUUUGUACGCACGCACGCCUUAGAAAGAGAGAUAUAGACUCGGUAGCUCGAAAGGCAAGGGAGUAUCUAAAGGCUUCGAUCAACGUCUUUCCCUCUCGCGAUCUCGCGUGGAAAUCGAUAAAUGUCGACGUGUGUACGUUGGUCACGUAUCUAACCGGAGUAUCGAACCUCGACUCUUUUGGAGUUAAGAAAUCGACUCGAUCCAUCGGAGAUCCGAGAGAAGGCAGAAUGAGAGACUCGCCCAGGAGUCUCUUCUCGGUUGGCUGCCCUUUUUUUUUCAUCCCACCCCGGUUCCACCGCGUCAAGGUUUCUCAUAACGGACUCGCGAAACCAUGCGAGAUGACAGGAUAUCGGCGACAGCCGCGUCACAGCAGCCUUAGGCUAAUUAACACCGAGCGAACCUUCUAAUCCAAUGAAUUUGUUCGACGCAAACUAGGCGUCAUGAUUUAUGGCGAGGAUCAAUAACCUCGAGAGAUGCGUAGGCAUAAACUUCUUCGAACGGAUGUCACGUAAAUCCAGGAAGACGCGAGCUUCUACACCAACACCAUCAACCGACAAACAUUAUCGCGUGUCGCGUCUAAGUUUCACCAUUUCUAUUCCUACGUUUUUCUCAGUCUGCAUGACUCUUCCGUUAUAAUUCAAGGCGCAACAUGGUGCAAAACGAACGGGAUAGCAACUUUGGCUAUGAAUGUACAGGGUGUCCUGUAUUCCGUAGUUUCGUUGCAAGUUCGUCAAAGAUGAUAUUCAAAUGCGAGGAAGAAAAAAAGAAAACGCGAUGAUAUUUAUCUUUAUUACGCUUAAUGGAACACGCUAGCGGAGUGUGAAAAAUGUGGGACACCGUGUAUUUUCGAGGAAGGGAAAGAGGAUCGUUUCGCAGGAUAGUUAGCAAUGGGUAGGUGCAUUGUCGUUUUCGCGCAAUAGGUGCUUCCUCGAGCGUGUCGGCGCAACGUCACAGGUUGUUUUGCAAGCGAAAGUUGUGCUCGCGCGUCUCCACGAUAACGCACGGCAGCGAACGCGGUCGAAAAUCGAAUUUCGUAUGGGCACGAUCGAUGGAUCGGGCGACGCUCGCGUGGCGCGCGGGAACACGUUCCCCAGCGCGGCUGUUCGACGUUCUCAAAGGCUUCGCGAUCCUAUCGAGAACGUUUAAUCGCGCAAUUAAGUCGACGUAUUGCGCGAUCUAAGAUUAUUUUCAUCCACAAGCGCGCGCGCACAUAUAUCCACGUAUACAGAGUGUCCCAAGGUUAAGCGGAUAAAUUUUGCCAGUGUGUUCUAUGGCUAUGUGCAAGCGAAACACAUGUUAUAUAAACGUAACGUAGGUCGUACAAAGUUUUAUUAUUGUAGAAAGUUACGAGAAGAAAAACACGAAAAUAGAAAGGAAAGCGUACAUUCGAUUUUGAUUGGCGAGUCAGUGGACUCUUGUGUGUCUAUAAUUUCAAAAAAGAAGACUACGUCGAGCAAAAACAUUGAUAUGCUUAGUGAUACAUUCCUUGUACCACGACGGUUGUACAAGAUACAAAGAGUUUCGUCGAGACGAAUAUUUCUUCGAUGAGACGAGGUAAAUUAAAUUCUUCAUCGCCGUCAAUUUCGUAUCGUAGGGAAUGGUACGCGUGUUAAAAUAGAGUGUUAGAACAGAGUACCAGAAUACAUUGACAAAGUUGGGUCGUUAAACUCUGAGACACCCUGUAUAUAUACAGCAGCAAACAACGUUUCAAAGGAACGAAGGGCGAAAGAGAAGAAACGACCAGCACAUCGAGAGAGACUUAGUUCCCCGUUGGACUAAUUAAUUAGCAUCCGGAACGCGACCGGCUCGAAUCGCUGCAUCGCAAUUUUCGCGUCCGCCGCGAUGAAAUAUUUAUAAAACCUCGCGACUAGUAUGUUAACGCGAGACUAACUUCGCUAGUGUGGAAGUUUUCCCACAGUUCCGGUGCCGUACACAAUGCCGAAAGGACGUGCUCGCAUCCUGUUGGAUGCCUCCUUCCGGUUCGUUCUCCCUUUACCUUUUCUCUUUCUCGCUCCACCUCUCUCUCUCUCUCUCUCUUUUUCCCCUCUCUGUUUCAUUCUCUCUUCCCCUUGCUUCUUCAGGCUUGCUUUUGUUGGAACGUUCCCUUACGAGCCACCAAACUGCCUCGCCGCCUCUUCGUUCUGCUCCGUAAAUUUCGUGGAAUCGCCGAGAUAAAAAGGAACACGCGUUCUUCGUCGAAUAUGAAAGGGAAAGUGCCGUAUCAGCCGGUAUAAGCGUCGAACCUUUAUCCAGAGUACCGAUCUAAAUACUAAUCCGAUUUUUCUCGUUGAUCAAAAGUAAAAAAUCGUUCGUGGUUUUAAACCGUAGAGAGCGUUGACGCGAUAUUUCGUUCGAAGACAGCAGGUGAAACACGCUACGAGGCGCAUUUCCCUACCAUUUUUUACAGGAAAGCAAUUUUACGAUUCGAUACGUGGUCGAUGAUACCCGUGUUACUAAAACUCUCUGUAUAAUUAAUCAUUGUAAAUCCCGAUGUAUUCGCGCCUCGAAAUUUUUCAUUAAAUCAUAGACGUCCACGGUGCGAUAAUUACAACUUCAGUCUCUUAAGAAACUCGCUAACGUUUCGUAAUAAUUUCACGUUUAACGCUCACCUUGGCGAGUCAAAGGUGAAAAUUCCAUCGACCUGGUUCCCUGCAUAGAAACAACGCGGCGUUACGUCACGGCCCAAGACUAAUUACCCCGUUGAUGCGUUGUACACGGAGAACGAGGGUGGUCCUCUAGAGCGAGUCGAAACGAAGAACGCGUCAAGUGAGUGAACGUGCAAUGAGCGCGACGUCUUAAUGAAAAAACGAACGACUCACUGUUUCACUGGCGCUUGCUUUUAUAUUUCUGUUACUCUUUCUCUUCUCAAAGUUCAUCCAAAGUUCGAAAGAGAGAGAGAGCGAGAGAGAGAGAGAGAGAGAGAGAGAGAGAGACAGGGGGGAGAGAAAAUGGGGACACAGAGGACCCCGUGAAAUCGAUGCGAGAAUAGAUUCACGGCGUCAGAGAUGCACAAUGAGCCCCCAUUUUUUAACGUCCGUCACACGGGUCGACGUGUCUCGUCACGCGUUCUAGCAAGCGACAGCUGCUGCGGGCUGCUUUCCAGCCCUCCGCCAUACAAAUCGGGAAACAUACCGAGCACGACCCUUAUGAUAUAAAAACGUAUUAGGGACUCUCGAGGAAGAGAGGGUUCCAGCCGAGGAUUUCUCUCGUGCGCGCAUGGGAAUAAGGGAGAGCGUGGAUUCGCAUACGUUUCGAGAUCCAGCCACUUCUUCCACUCUAUUCCUGCCAGCUUACGUUUUACAUAAUAUGCGUAAACGUGUUCGGUGGUUAAUCGAACGAGGAUUCGUUCUUCAGCGAGCACGUACGUGGAAAAUGGCUGCUUUUAUUUCACAGGAGUCAAGCGUGUGUUUAAUCGUAUGGCUAGAGUCCAUUGCGGUGCACGAUCGUGGAGAAAAGCUUCUUUCAUUCGUAGAGAAUAGUAUGGUUUAACUCGGUUAGAGAGAAACGAAUCAUUGGUGAUUAAUCGAAGUUAGAUUAAUUCUUCGCAAUGAACGAUUCAGAAAGAUACCUCCUUUCAUUCGACGGUAUCAGUAAACUCAGGAAAAUAAACGUAAGUACAUAAAUCUUUAUUAGGCAAUUGGAACAAGGUUAAUAUUCUUUAUACAGCACUAUCGUGAAAAGAGUUUCCUUUAUUCCCAUGGUAAUUACGUAGCGAGCUCACGUAUAGAGGAAUAAAUCUCCCUUGAACGAUCCAACGAAGGUUAAUCGACCGGCGUGAUUGCAAAAAAAAAAAAAAGAAAGAACCAUUUUCAAUCGGAAGUAAUUGCACAUAAACUCGAACGUCAUUGGAGGUUACAUACACCAUUUCGCCUGACUGAUCAUGCAUGGCGGAAACGCGAGAACGGAUCUCUUCCAGAUGGCCUGCCUUGCCUGUACCGUGAACGACAGCGUUGCGUUAAGAUAUCGUGCACGUGCUGCAACCUGACUUCUCGCGACUCCUUUCCGAGAGACAGCCACGAGUCACAGGUGCAAAUUGAUAUUAAAGAGAAAAGAAAAAAAACGAAGGUGCGGCGGAAUUGCGCAAACGAUGGAUAUAUCGUGAAAUUCUCGUCCAAGGACAAGGCGUUUCCGAAUGAAAUCGGUGUCGAAUCGCGUUUAAUAGGUCGUCUGGUUGGUCAUGCGCGCGGAACCAGGUCGCGUCGUUCGAUAUCUAAACGCGAUCGAUGGAAAAGACGCCCGAAACGAACAUGAAGAUAGACUUGGCCUAGAAAAUCGAGCGAUGACGCGUCGGAACAGUCAUCAGGUGCAAUCAGGGGCAAAGCGUAAAAUUUAUCUUCCAUCUUUAAAUCGAUCAAAUAGACUCCUUUAUGCGAGUUUUAUCUUCUUUCAUCCUCUAGAUAGCGAAGAAGAUACGAAAAAAUCGAAGAUCGUUGCGACUGUCGCGAGAGAUGCAUAAAUCACGACCGAAGAAAAGAAGGUGCGAGGAGAUGCUGUAAACGUACGUCAUCUGGGAAGAUUCUUUGCAAAUUUUAAGGUGGACAAGAGAAUGAAGUACCCUAAAGGAGAGACAGAAGCAGAGGGAACACAACCCUGUGGUGAAUCGUUCGCGCGUGUACCAUCGUAUCGAGAGUACUUAAGUAUGUACGCGUCCUCGUAGGGGCCAAGCCUCUUUCGCGGAACAUCUCGACCCUGGACCACGUGUUCCACCAUCCUUUCCCCUCCGAGCCAACUUGAUUUGGCAUUGUGAUGCAAAUUUACCGGGGAUACGUACUCGCGAGAAUUCCUGCGAACCGACCUCGAGUGUCUUCCCCCGUUAAACUAACAACCAGAUGCUCGUUCUUCUGCUCGUUGCUACGAUCGAUUCACCGUCGUAUCUGUCAACGUUCUAUACCCCAUCCAUAAUAAAUAGCGACGUGGUUCGAACGGUACUUUACAAAAUUACAAGCAUUAAAGGAUAGAAAGAAGGAAGAUCGCCGUUUUACGCUUCCAAAGAAAAUCUCUAAAACGCUUGGCAAAGUCUCGGUUAUAUCGUAGAAUCGGUUUCCCGAUCGAAAGAUGGAUUAUUUCGACGAUUCUUCAAGAAAAAGCAAAUUUCGCUUCGAAGAAAUUUACGAGCAAAAUUUCGCGAAAAGCGCAAAAGGUGCGGACUGUUCGCGGAUGGUAAAAUACCGAAUCAAGGAAAAAUCGCGCGUUAACGCGUUCGCAGGACUGGGAGAACUUUUUCUAAAGAGAGUUCAUCGACCCAGCGAGUCGGAGUUCAGCGAAUUCUCGAUCUCGCGUUCGACUCCCGCUGCUCGUUUUUGUAAUGGGCAGAAUACAAGCGUCCACCGGGGCUAAAGGGACAUACGUACGUGUGCGAGCUCUGGCUUAAUAUUUGAAUAACGCGCGUAGGUUUGACCCGGCCGAAUCAACGACAUAUCGGCCCGGCCAUAAUCAGACGACAUUGUGCGCCGUAGAUUAUGGGGUAGAGAGAGAACGCGGCGACUCGCCGAGCCAGCCGCACGAAUGUAUAAGUAAUGGAGUUACGGGACGACUCGUCCUCCCGAGGAGCACUCUCCAAGUCCGCUUUAUUGGCUUGGUCGCGCGAUCUUCGCACCUGUCGACUAAAUCUUUCCCGAACCAGACAAACUAUGGCGAGUUUACCAACGGUAGAGUAGGCAUAUUUGGACAAUUGUCUCUGUAGCAGGUGAUGGAGUCGUAAUUCACGAUUGAGCCAGACGCCAAAUCGACCGGCUCCACUGUUUCUCAAUUUCUCCAUCUCAUUGCUUAAGUUGGCGAUUAACGAUCAAUUACAAGGUAAAUUAAAUUAAUUACAAGGUAAAUUUCAAAAAUGGUAUUUGCAACAUCGUCGCUCUUUUCUUUUUUUUUUUUUUUUUCUUUUAAUUUUCUAGUCAAGUUUUAAACGGUAGUUUCGUUAGGUGUAUUUUGUUGUAUUACGUGGCGUUGUACUCUUACGCUUCUAAUGUAUCUAAUCGCACUUUUAUCCUAACGUCGGAACUGCUUUAUAUUAGCAUCUUUUCACUUUUUCAAAGAUAUUACGAUAGAAAUUUCUAUAAUAGAAAGCGAUCUGCGAGAAGUUGGCAGCGAAUUCGCGAAGAGUGAAAGAGGAGAUAAGAAGCGGCGAUUAGAAAAAGCGAAAGAGAUUUCAGUAAAAAAAUAUCGAGUCUGGAGUAGAAUUCGCGCAGAACCAUGGCAAUGUGGCGUAUAACGGUGCACGUCGGGAAGCACUUAAAUCAUACCUCUCCUAUUCUAUGGCGGGCAAGAGGCGCUGGAGUGCGUGCACGUUUAUCUGACACGUAUCAAAGCGAAGGAAUACGAACGAGAGAUCGCGAUCAAGAGAGCUCGUGUGCACAAAAGCGCAUAUUUCAUACAAAUCAGUUUAAGAGCCUAUAGAUUUAGCGAGACGAAAGCAAAGGGAAAGAAGAAAGGCGUAGUUCAGCUGGCAAUUCUAGCGAAUGCAACGAUCCUUCUAUCAUAAAUAGAGCUAUAGAAAAACACAUAACGACACACAGAGCUGCGAUAUAUUUAGAACGAUAAUAUUCCUGAUAACAUUCGAAAUUGCAUUAACGUAACGCGAAUAUCGUAAUAUUGCAACGCGUAUAAUUUCAUAUAAUUAGUGCCAAAGAUGAUCUCGUUAAACGUUCCGGUUUCUCAAUAAACGAACAAUCGACUGUUCAAGUACUCGAUGCAAUGUUCGCAGCAGCUAUCUUGCAACUUUUACGCAGAUUCUUAGAUUGUUUCAAAAUUUAAUCUAACAUAAUCGCGAUGCCGUCGAUGAGUUACGCGCGUAAUAUGCCAACGUAAAGUUUCUACAACCGCUUUCGUGAGUUAGCAUCCAUAUGCCUUUACUUCGUCUAUACUUCGCGAUCGACAUAGGAUACACCGAAUAUCGAAAUCAAUUCGACAAACAUCGUAACCCUGGACGUUACAAUUUGGACGAUCGGCAAAGGCGAAGAGGAGGAGGAGCACGCUGAUCUCCUAUUCGCCUAUGGCGUGCACACACCCGGCAUCGUGUACGUACAAGCGUCGACAACGGCGACGUGUACACGGAUGCUGACCGAGAGAGCAUGUCCGGAGAUAAAUCUCGCUCUCGGUGAUAUUGCCCGGGGACUACCCGCGGUGGAUCGUUCGCGCGAUCGAUGGAUCAUCGAUCGGUACUCGGAGCCAGCGGGUGGGUGCAGCGUGCUGCUAUGCGACUCGCUCGUGCAACACAUUUGUGCACGCGUAUACUGCAACGUAUAUGCUUGUGGUACUUGCUCGUCGUCGCGAAAGAUAGCGGAAGAUACGUGGGUGAUGUUCGAGUCUCUAGGAAUCGAUCGAGACCACUUUUUGAUCUCGUUGUCCAACCGAGCGUCGAAAAGCGUUUGGAAAGAAGCGGAGAAGCGUUUUUCGGAAGGUGAAACCGAAAUUCAUUCGUUGCUUUCGCCGGUCACGUAAGAAGAUCACGAGCGAGUUGCGGCUGAGAAUUUUGAUCGUCGGUUGCUCGUUUCACAUUCAGACUCGCGUGUUUUCGUAGUUUUGCGAGUGGACGAGCCGCUGUUAAAAAUGGAUCGAACAACGUGGCAUUGCGGAACGAAAUCUGUGAAUUUGUAAUAGUCGAAAGGAGUAUGUAUCUUUGUAGCGAGUUCGUGAGGUUACUGUGAGAACCGAGUGAAACCUUGGAAAUUGCUGAGAAAUUCCAGAAAGAUGUAUAAA